UGAUAUCGAUCUCGAACCGUCCUUGGCUCCACAUCAAUGGUUCUCUUUUAUGUGUCAUCAGUUUUGAUGGGGUAAACAAAUCCUGAAGGAGGCCCGAGUUGGUCGUCUUCGACCAUGAUCUUCGAUUGAUAUAUGUUCUGUACGUUGGCCUAGGUGACCAUUGGGUACUCCAUCAAAUUUUGUUUUAAUUGUUGAGAUGCCUCGAAAGUUCAGGGUUUGAGCCCUUGAGUGAAUUCCUUAACGUCCUAAUCAUCCGCAACUGGUGGCAGAUCCAUUUAUUCCAUCUAGAAUCUCGACACAAACUCCUUUAGCAUCUCGUUAUCCCUCUAUUUGACCUUGAAAAGGUCUGACUUCCUGGUCUCGGCCUUGAUGGCUACUGCAUGGGCCUUCACGAAGGCAUCUACAAGCAUAGCAAAUGAGUGGAUUGAAUCCGGAGUUAAGUUGUGAUACCAUAUUAUUGCUCCCUUGGAUAAGGUUUCCCCAAACAUUUUCAACAAC
rnacentral:lncRNA from 1 species